AUUGAACGCUGGCGGCAGGCCUAACACAUGCAAGUCGAACGAGUGGCGGACGGGUGAGUAAUGUCUGGGAACCUGCCUAGUGGCGGGGGAUAACUACUGGAAACGGUAGCUAAUACCGCAUACCAUCAGAUGGGCCCAGAUGGGAUUAGCUAGUUGGUGGGGUAACGGCUCACCAAGGCGACGAUCCCUAGCUGGUCUGAGAGGAUGACCAGCCACACUGGGACUGAGACACGGUCCAGACUCCUACGGGAGGCAGCAGUGGGGAAUAUUGGACAAUGGGCGCAAGCCUGAUGCAGCCAUGCCGCGUGUAUGAAGAAGGCCUUCGGGUUGUAAAGUACUUUCAGCGGGGAGGCGGUACCCGCAGAAGAAGCACCGGCUAACUCCGUGCCAGCAGCCGCGGUAAUUC
rnacentral:rRNA from 1 species